rnacentral:rRNA from 1 species
UGGGGAAUAUUGCACAAUGGGCGCAAGCCUGAUGCAGCCAUGCCGCGUGUAUGAAGAAGGCCUUCGGGUUGUAAAGUACUUUCAGCGGGGAGGAAGGGAGUAAAGUUAAUACCUUUGCUCAUUGACGUUACCCGCAGAAGAAGCACCGGCUAACUCCGUGCCAGCAGCCGCGGUAAUACGGAGGGUGCAAGCGUUAAUCGGAAUUACUGGGCGUAAAGCGCACGCAGGCGGUUUGUUAAGUCAGAUGUGAAAUCCCCGGGCUCAACCUGGGAACUGCAUCUGAUACUGGCAAGCUUGAGUCUCGUAGAGGGGGGUAGAAUUGCAGGUGGAGCGGUGAAAUGCGGAGAGAUCUGGAGGAAUACCGGUGGCGAAGGCGGCCCCCUGGACGAAGACUGACGCUCAGGUGCGAAAGCGUGGGGAGCAAACAGG